CCUACGGGAGGCAGCAGUGGGGGAUAUUGCACAAUGGGGGAAACCCUGAUGCAGCGACGCCGCGUGUGGGAAGACGGUCCUCUGGAUUGUAAACCACUGUCCCCAGGGACGAAGAUGACGGUACCUGGGGCGGAAGCUCCGGCUACUACGUGCCAGCAGCCGCGGUAAUACGUAGGGAGCGAGCGUUGUCCGGAAUUACUGGGUGUAAAGGGAGCGUAGGCGGGACUGCAAGUUGGGUGUCAAAUCUACCGGCUCAACCGGUAGCCGCACUCAAAACUGCAGUUCUUGAGUGAAGUAGAGGCAGGCGGAAGUCCUAGUGUAGCGGUGAAAUGCGUAGAUAGUAGGAGGAACACCAGUGGCGAAGGCGGCCUGCUGGGCUUUUACUGACGCUGAGGCUCGAAAGUGUGGGGAGCAAACAGGAUUAGAUACCCGUGUAGUC
rnacentral:rRNA from 1 species